rnacentral:lncRNA from 1 species
AUCAUUGGUAGACUUAAAGUCUAGUAAUGGAUAGAUAGAUCUCGUUUAGCAAGAUUAUAUUUAAUUAAAUAAGAAUAAAUAAAUUUUUCUUAAAGUUCCUGUUGCUCAUUUAAGGAAGUUAAUUAAUACUAGCAUUUUUAGGUGACAAUGAGCAACAGAGAGAAUGAAGUCUCAAUGAAUCCUGCCAGUAGAAAGAAAGGAGCAAGAAGAACUACAAGGAGAGAUACCAACC